rnacentral:rRNA from 1 species
AGUGAACGCUGGCGGUAGGCCUAACACAUGCAAGUCGAACGGCAGCACAGUAAGAGCUUGCUCUUACGGGUGGCGAGUGGCGGACGGGUGAGGAAUACAUCGGAAUCUACUUUUUCGUGGGGGAUAACGUAGGGAAACUUACGCUAAUACCGCAUACGACCUACGGGUGAAAGCAGGGGAUCUUCGGACCUUGCGCGAUUGAAUGAGCCGAUGUCGGAUUAGCUAGUUGGCGGGGUAAAGGCCCACCAAGGCGACGAUCCGUAGCUGGUCUGAGAGGAUGAUCAGCGACACGGGAAGUGGGACACGGUCCAGACUCCUACGGGAGGCAGCAGUGGGGAAUAUUGGACAAUGGGCGCAAGCCUGAUCCAGCCAUACCGCGUGGGUGAAGAAGGCCUUCGGGGUGUAAAGCCCUUUUGUUGGGAAAGAAAAGCAGCAGGUUAAUACGCCGCUGUUCUGACGGUACCCAAAGAAUAAGCACCGGCUAACUUCGUG